CAUGAUAUGGGUAAAAAGUUUGGUUGUGUUCAUUUAUCAUAUUAUGCAGAUAUUUUGUACCAUUGAAGAGCAUUAUAUACUGAAAGGAAUAAAAAUAAAAUGAAAUUAAGUAAAGCUAUUAAAUAUAGUGAGCUGAUACAAGGAAGUGUUUAUGACCUCUUACCAAAUUUAAGAUGAUUACAACCAAAUACAGAGACUUCAUAAGAAAAUGAAAAACUAGGUGAAGACUUAAAAAAUAUAAAGGAAAACCAUCUGAAUAUGUUUGGAUGAAUGAUAGAGAGGUAAUUGAUAGGUCAGGAGUAAUUUGUGGGAAUAACACAAAUGUUAAGAAAUAGAUUUAGUGUUUUUAUUAUUAACAAUCCAGAAGAAAUUCCAUAUUUGAUUACAUUUUUGAGUAACUUGUCACAUACAUUUUAGGAAAAGAAUAAUAUGGAAAAGUAUUAGUUAAUACUUUCAUUAAUAAAUAAUCUUUCAAAAUGCAUCCCUAUGGUCGUAAUUGUUGUGGUCCAGGAACAAAAUCAGAAAAAAGAUUAGCUGAAGGCGUUCAAGGAAUAAAUCCUCUAGAUGAUGCAUGCAGGCAACAUGAUAUUGCAUAUACAGAUAAUAAAGAUUUAAAAAACAGAAUAAUGUAUCAGAAUAGUGUCAAUUUAAUUUCAUAUUCCUUGCCACAAGUAUGUAUCACAUUCGAAGGGGACUGCCUCUGUAAUGCACAAUGGCGAAGUCAUGUUACUUCUGUUUCAAAUUUAUACAAUAGCAGCUGAUUUGUGUGAGGCGUACAUGCCUAUGAGUUGUUAGCACAAAAAACAUUUCUCACUCCCUGCAACUGCAGGUAUAUCUACACCUGCACACAGCUUCGCUCUUGUAAUGACCGGGCAACUUUACUUUACUCACGGUGAAGUUGACCAACAUCAAUUAAACUUAAAGACGAAUUAACAUAUUACAGUAUCUCUGAGUAAUUUUGUUUGUUAA